rnacentral:rRNA from 1 species
AACGAACGCUGGCGGCAGGCCUAACACAUGCAGGUCGAGCGCCCCGCAAGGGGAGCGGCGGACGGGUGAGUAACGCGUGGGAACGUGCCCUUUGCUACGGAGUAGCCCCGGGAAACUGGGAGUAAUACCGUAUAAGCCCUACGGGGGAAAGAUUUAUCGGCAAAGGAUCGGCCCGCGUUGGAUUAGGUAGUUGGUGGGGUAAUGGCCUACCAAGCCGACGAUCCAUAGCUGGUUUGAGAGGAUGAUCAGCCACACUGGGACUGAGACACGGCCCAGACUCCUACGGGAGGCAGCAGUGGGGAAUCUUAGACAAUGGGCGCAAGCUUGAUCUAGCCAUGCCGCGUGAGCGAUGAAGGCCUUAGGGUUGUAAAGCUCUUUCGUGGGGGAAGAUAAUGACUGUACCCCAAGAAGAAGCCCCGGCUAACUCCGUGCCAGCAGCCGCGGUAAGA